AAGAACCAUCUUGUAAAAUAUAGGUUGUGUUGUUUGUUUUAUUCCUUCUUACUGAAGGAAUCCUGAGAACCUUGCCGUUACACCCAACAAGUAACAAGCGCGUUCCGUUGUUGACGUGAGAUAUGAAAUGAAAAUGAAAUUCAAUUAAAAUUAAAAUUUGAAAUUAAAUCCCCAAAUCCAAACACAUUCUCUUUCCUUGCUCACUAAUUCACUAUUCACUCACUUAACUUCACCUCAGCUCAGAUCAAUGCAAGAACCUUCUAGAACCGCCACCGGUUACCCGGCCCCACCCUUCAACCACCCUAACGGUGGCCAACCGCCACCGCCAUCCACCACCGCCUACCCCUACGCCGCACCUCCUCCCUACCAGCCCCAUCCUCAGUACUACAAUCCCCAACCCUACCAACAGCGCUACUCCCCUUCCCGCUCCUUCUUCCGCGCCUUCAUCGCCACCAUGAUCUGCCUCGCCGUCGUCUUCGGUGUCGUCCUCAUUAUCACCUGGCUCGUCCUCCGCCCUUCCCUCCCUCACUUCACCAUCACCACCUUCUCCGUCCAGAACUUCUCCACAACAGCACAAACCGUCUCCGCCACGUGGCACCUCACCUUCCUCCUCCGCAACAAUAACCACAAGAUGUCCGUUACCUAUAACGUGCUUCGCCCUUCCCUCUUCUACCACUCUAACUACCUUGCCGACUCGCAGCUACCGCCGUUCAAGCAGGACACCAGGUCCGAGAACACGCUCAACGCAACCUUGGUUGCCGUCGACGCUUACCUCGAGCCACGCGCCGUGACCGAUUUGAACGCCGAGAAGUCGAGUGGCUCCGUUACGUUCGACGUGCAGCUGCUGGCUUCCGCAUCCUUCCGAUCCGGUUCGUGGCGGUUCAGGCCGCGCGUGCUCAAGGUUCUCUGCCGGAAGGUUCCCGUGGGCUUAACGUCGAAAUCCUCCUCCGGUCAGCUUGUCGGCGGAUCCAGGGAGUGCCAGAGUGUUUCCUGGUAACAAAUUGAAGGCCUAUUGAUUAUUGGGUAAAAUAGUCAUAUUUGUUGUUGCCCUGCCCUCUUCAUCCCCUUUAAUUAACUCAAAAGAAAAAUGUCAAAAUCGAGUAUUUGGGAUGGUUAAGGGAUGAUGAUGAUGAAGUUAUUGAAAGACCUUCAGUUCUUUCACUGUGCCGGAUCUGGCUAUGCAUGGAUAUCAAGUUCGUGUAUUUGGGAUGGUUUGGUUAGUCCUAUAGGAGGGAUCAUUAACCUGUUGAAGCUGGUAUCCAACAGUAUGACAGUUCUUAUGCUUGCGGCUAUUUAUUUUUAUGAAUUGAGUACGAAAUUGGGGCUUGCUGUUGAUUUAGAGAUUGGAGGAAUAACACCUAAGACCCAUUGGCGACAAUUGGUAAUUUGAAAAUCUUUUUCAAAUAAUCAAGCUUGAAUCAAAGAAUGGUGUCCCUAACAACAAAUAAUCUUUGUUGUUAUUUGUUCUAGACUACUAUCUUCCAAAUGGCAGCUACAUUCCUAAGGUGAUGAUUAUGUAUUGUAAUGGAUUCCUUCUUAUCAUAUGCUUUCACUUCUAAUUUAUUUCUGGCUACUGGAAUCUCUCAACAAUAAAGUAUCAUCAUGUGAGUUUCUUUGCUUUAUUCUUAUAUUGCUUUGGCAUUGUUGUAUGUUCCCCUGAUUUUGAAUCAUUUUAUGAAAGAAGUAUUUGGCAUCACCUUGAUUUACUUUCACAAAUUGGAAGUUCUUAUACGCCACCUUUUGUACCCUGGGAAUGUUGUAAAUUGGAAUAGUAAAGGCCUUCACACUCGAGUUUCAUAAGCAUUAACGUUGGAAUUAUACAGGUAUAGGUUCAAAUGCAUGUAUUGUCGGUUAGUUCGGGGAGAGAGUAUUGUAUAAGCAUGUAUUGUUUAAAGCCUGUUCUACUCCUGUUCUACCUUACUUAUAAGGAGGGGUUGGUAUCCUGGUAUAUUAAGGCGAAGAUACCAAGAGAUUUGUGUUAUGCCAUAUUUUAAAUUAUAUAUCCAAAUUUGGUAUUUU